rnacentral:rRNA from 1 species
GGGCCCGCACAAGCGGUGGAGUAUGUGGUUUAAUUCGAUGCAACGCGAAGAACCUUACCAGGGUUUGACAUCCUGCGAAUCUCUUGGAAACGAGAGAGUGCCUUCGGGAACGCAGUGACAGGUGGUGCAUGGCUGUCGUCAGCUCGUGUCGUGAGAUGUUGGGUUAAGUCCCGCAACGAGCGCAACCCACGUCUUUAGUUGCCAGCAUUUAGUUGGGCACUCUAGAGAGACUGCCGGUGAUAAACCGGAGGAAGGUGUGGAUGACGUCAAGUCAUCAUGCCCCUUACAUCCUGGGCUACACACGUACUACAAUGCUACGGACAAAGGGCAGCAAACUCGCGAGAGCUAGCAAAUCCCAUAAACCGUGGCUCAGUUCAGAUCGUAGGCUGCAACUCGCCUACGUGAAGGAGGAAUC